UGUUCUAAAAGAAAUAGUGUGAUCCAUUAUGCUGGUAAAAUAUAUUCUCCUUAAUUGGUAGCAAGGCAAUGCGUUAAACAGCAACUGCUGACAGGAAACGUUUGGGUAGAUUGAAUAACUUGAAUCUUGAAAUAUUAAAGGAAUUACCUUAGGAGCAUUCUGAAUCUGUAAUGUGGAUUUUCAACAAUCAUUCUACAGCUGGGAAAAUUUCAAGAGAUUUGAGAGUUGUGGUGAAGGUUAAGGUCUCAGUAUUUAAGAGAAGUAUGUCUGCAGAGCUGUAAGGAAGGAAUUUGACAGAAGCCCUUAUAAGGGAGAUCACAGUAUCUUGGAUGCAUUCAUCAGGCACAUUCUACUCUCCCCACUGUUUCCUUUUGGGAAGGAAAUACAGACUGGAAAUCUCAGGUUGAGAGGCUGCUGGUUCCUCAAGUGUCUUGACAAGAGGAAUCCUCAUCUCCCAGCACUACAGAGUGGCCAAGAUCUGCAGCCAAGUACAGGAAAUCCUGUUUUUCAGUAAAGAUUAAUUUCAUUGUUAUGUCCUGUA